AUCUCUGGUCCGGCGCUAGCUGACUGGAUGCAUCCUCAUUAUAGCUUUAGAUGCCGCGAGAGUGGAGGUAUAGAUGUUUUUGGAAUUCAUGAUGGCAGCAUAGUGACUAUUUUGAAUGGUACUUGCAAGGACAACACUACUUCACCAAAAGGAGGACUAAUAGAGAUUCCUUAUAGUUGCACUUAUGCAACUGAUGAGGGAACAGAAACUGCGUAUGAAGUAUUUAUAAGUGUAAAAGAUCCUGUGUUUGGUGAAACUAC